rnacentral:rRNA from 1 species
GAUGAACGCUAGCGAUAGGCUUAACACAUGCAAGUCGAGGGGCAGCAUGGUCUUAGCUUGCUAAGGCUGAUGGCGACCGGCGCACGGGUGCGUAACGCGUAUGCAACUUGCCUCACAGAGGGGGAUAACCCGUCGAAAGACGGACUAAUACCGCGUACACUCUAUGUUGGGCAUCCAAUGUAGAGGAAAUGAAAUUCGCUGUGAGAUAGGCAUGCGUCCCAUUAGCUAGUUGGUGAGGUAACGGCUCACCAAGGCGACGAUGGGUAGGGGAACUGAGAGGUUGAACCCCCACACUGGUACUGAGACACGGACCAGACUCCUACGGGAGGCAGCAGUGAGGAAUAUUGGUCAAUGGGCGAGAGCCUGAACCAGCCAAGUCGCGUGAAGGAUGACUGUCUUAUGGAUUGUAAACUUCUUUUAUACGGGAAUAACAAGAGUCACGUGUGGCUCCCUGCAUGUACCGUAUGAAUAAGCAUCGGCUAACUCCGUGC